rnacentral:rRNA from 1 species
UACGAAGGGAGCUAGCGUUGUUCGGAAUCACUGGGCGUAAAGCGCACGUAGGCGGAUGUGUCAGUCAGGGGUGAAAUCCCAGAGCUCAACUCUGGAACUGCCUUUGAUACUGGGUGUCUUGAGUAUGGAAGAGGUGAGUGGAAUUCCGAGUGUAGAGGUGAAAUUCGUAGAUAUUCGGAGGAACACCAGUGGCGAAGGCGGCUCACUGGUCCAUUACUGACGCUGAGGUGCGAAAGCGUGGGGAGCAAACAGG